CCUACGGGAGGCAGCAGUAGGGAAUCUUUCACAAUGGGCGAAAGCCUGAUGGAGCAACGCCGCGUGCAGGAUGAAGGCCUUCGGGUUGUAAACUGCUUUUAUAAGCGAGAAAUAUUGUGGUAACUUAUGAAUCAGGCUCGGCUAUCUACGUGGCAGCCGCCGCGGUCAUACGUAGGAUCGGAGCAUUAUCCGGGGUAACUGGGUGUAAAGAGUUGCGUAGGUGGCAUAAUAAGUAGCUAGUGAAAUCUGGUGGCUCAACCAUUCAGACUAUUGGCUAAACUGUUAAGCUUGAGACCGUUAGGGGUAACUGGAAUUUCGAGUGUAGGAGUGAAAUGCGUAGAUAUUCGAAGGAACACCGAUAGCGUAGGCAGGUUACUGGGACGGAUCUGACACUAAGGCACGAAAGCGUAGGGAGCAAACGGGAUUAGAUACCCUAGUAGUC
rnacentral:rRNA from 1 species